rnacentral:rRNA from 1 species
UGGGGAAUAUUGGACAAUGGGCGCAAGCCUGAUCCAGCCAUACCGCGUGGGUGAGAAGGCCUUCGGGGUUGUAAAGCCCUUUUGUUGGGAAAGAAUCCAGCCGGCUAAUACCUGGUUGGGAUGACGGUACCCAAAGAAUAAGCACCGGCUAACUUCGUGCCAGCAGCCGCGGUAAUACGAAGGGUGCAAGCGUUACUCGGGAAUUACUGGGGCGUAAAGCGUGCGUAGGGUGGUCGUUUAAGUCCCGUUGUGAAAGCCCUGGGCUCAACCUGGGAACUGCAGUGGAUACUGGGCGACUAGAGUGUGGUAGAGGGUAGCGGAAUUCCUGGGUGUAGCAGUGAAAUGCGUAGAGAUCAGGAGGAACAUCCAUGGCGAAGGCAGCUACCUGGACCAACACUGACACUGAGGCACGAAAGCGUGGGGAGCAAACA